GCGCCCGUAGCUCAGCAGGAUAGAGCGUCGGUUUCCUAAACCGCAGGUCGCACGUUCGAAUCGUGUCGGGCGUACCA
rnacentral:tRNA from 5 species